ensembl:processed_transcript
GAUAGAACAAUGACAAUGGCUGUCUCUCAGAGCUUAGUUUUCUUGGGGGGGAAAUCUAGGAACAUCAGAAAUAUGUCACACUGAAGUUCCAAGAUGAGAGUGACAGUCAGCUAUCAGUGUGGAAUGGAAAAAGCCAAUCAAGUGGGUUGAAGCUAGGAAGGAACACUAUGCAUAUUCCAAACACAAGGACCUGGGAAAGCUCAAAGAAGGGGACAGCCUAACCAUAAAGCAACGCUGAAAAGCUGUGAUACAAAGACACGAUGAGGGCAGAGGCAGAGACGGAGUGAGUGCCGGACAGUGAAGCCAAGGAGGAAUCUGUAGUCUAGAUUAUAACCUCAGACAGAAGCUUCACACCAGAGCACAUUCUGGAAUAAUCAAUGUUUCCAAAACUGGUAAGAGGGGCCGCGCAGUUUCGUUCAACUGGAUAUCCGCUUUCUCG